rnacentral:rRNA from 1 species
GACGUAGGGCGCGAGCGUUGUCCGGAUUUAUUGGGCGUAAAGAGCUCGUAGGCGGCUUGUCGCGUCGGCUGUGAAAUCCCGUGGCUCAACUGCGGGUCUGCAGCCGAUACGGGCAGGCUAGAGUUCGGUAGGGGAGACUGGAAUUCCUGGUGUAGCGGUGAAAUGCGCAGAUAUCAGGAGGAACACCGAUGGCGAAGGCAGGUCUCUGGGCCACUACUGACGCUGAGAAGCGAAAGCAUGGGGAGCGAACAGG